GCCAGUGUGCUCUGCACAUUAGUGGUUAGAGCAUCUGCUUUGCAUGCAGAAGGUCUCAGGUUCAAUCCCUGGCACCUCCAAGUAGGGCU